GCCUGACUGGCUCAGUCAGUUAAGCGUCCGACUUAGGCUCAGGUCAUGAUCUGCGGUUCGUGAGUUCAAGCCCCGCGUCAGGCU
rnacentral:tRNA from 1 species